ACAAGAACCGGCAGCGGCGGCAGCAGCAGCAGCAGCAGCAGCAGCAGCAGCAGCAACUGGAUUUGCUUUUUCACCAGAGGAUCCAGAUUUCCCUGUGGCCUCGCAAACAAAAAAGAAGGAAGACGGAGCAGCACAGUCAUCCCUUUGUGAAAAAGGCAUUCAGAGACGGGGUUUCACCGUGUUAGCCAGGAUGGUCUCGAUCUCCUGACCUCGCGAUCCGCCCGCCUCGGCCUCCCAAAGUGCUGGGAUUACAGGCGUGAGCCACCGCGCCCGGCCUUAGCUGGUUUUUCAAAAGUCAUGGCGUGUAAUUGUCCGAACAGUGAACUUCGGAGAUCCACCGGAGGGGCGAGGCCACAGCUCGACCGCGAGCACCUGAGCAUCCUGCACCGCCUGCGACGGCCGUCAGGGGGCGCGAUGCCGCCUCACAGAACCUCAAGCGGCGCCCGGGUUCCGGCACAGACGGCCUGCGGCUCCAGGGGGCGGAGCCGAGCCGUCUCCUCAGGACCUACGCAGGAGGCGCCGUCAUCCCUACAGGGACACCUGAGAGGGCCCAGCCUCCUCCUCCUCAGGACCCACUCGGGAGACGCCGCUGGCUCUCUAGGAACACCUGGGGACCGUGGCCAGGGACGACCCAGCCUCCUUCUCCUCAGCUCCUCAGGAACGACUGGGGAAGCUGUGGCUUCAUGGUCCCCGAGGCUGCCCGAGGAAAGGUAUUUCAGGACAGCCAGGAGGGGGCGCACAUCCGCCGCGAAACUGUGAGCAAGAGCGUCUGUGCUGAACCAUGGCGCCACCAGAGGGCGCGCGAUCCCGCCCCAACCAACUUCCCGCUGAAGUGCCAGAAGCAGCGAGGAGCUUCAACUUCCUCAGGGCAGCACGGGGGUCGUGUUAAUUUGGUGUUCUUCAUUGAUGAUGAUUAUUCCCCACCUUCUAAGAGACAAAGACCAACGAGCCACCACAGCCACCAGUCCCAGAACCUGCCAAUGCUGGGGAACGGAAAAUGAGGGAGUUCAACUCUGGCCCUCACAAUCCAGUGGAGGAGACGAAACUCAUCUGCCUCUGUCCCUCUGGGCACGCCUCAUGCCAGGUGCAUCUGUGGACAGGGGCCAUGCUCCUGGGCUUCCAAAGUUGGAGAAAGCUGCCAGGCUCAGGUCUGAAGGCCAGAAUUCUACAGUAAGUCCUACUGAGUCAAGGUGGGAGCAGGGUCGGUAGCUUCCGAGGCUCUGCGGGAGAAUCCGUUUCCUGGCCGUAGAGGUGGCCUGCACUCCGCAGCUUGUGCUGCCCGUCUCGAAUGACUGGAGUUUCCUGCUUCUGUCACUACACCUCCCACCCUCUCCAUCACCUGCUCUGCUCUUACAAGGAUCCGAAGAAAUGGAAUCAUCGUAUCGCUGAUCUACGUAAACAAACUGAAGAAUUGUCUGAAAGAAAAUAUGACAUGAACUUAUGAAUUCAACAGGUGAAGAUUUACAACUUGAUAAAUCAACUUUGUCAGCUCGAGCUGUAAAAGCCAAAGGUCCGGUGAUGAUCCCAUACCCUUUUUUCCAGUCUCAUGUUGAAGAUUUUUAUGUAGAAGGCCUUCCCAAAGGAAUUUUUUUUUUUUUUUUUUUUUUGAGAUGGAGUUUUCACUCUUAUCGCCCAGGCUGGGGUGCAAUGGCGCAACCUUGCUGGUCACUGCAACCUCUGCCUCCUGGGUUCAAGAAAUUCUCCUGCCUUAGCCUCCCAAGUCACUGGGAUUACAGGUGCCCACCACCAUACCAGGCUAAUUUUUGUAUUUUUAGUGGAGAUGCGGUUUCACCAU
ensembl:lncRNA novel transcript